rnacentral:rRNA from 1 species
GACGAACGCUGGCGGCGUGCUUAACACAUGCAAGUCGAACGGAAAGGCCUCUUUCGGGGGGUACUCGAGUGGCGAACGGGUGAUUAACACGUGAGUAACCUGCCCUUGACUUUGGGAUAACUUCAGGAAACUGGGGCUAAUACCGGAUAGGAGCUCCUGCUGCAUGGUGGGGGUUGGAAAGUUUCGGCGGUUGGGGAUGGACUCGCGGCUUAUCAGCUUGUUGGUGGGGUAGUGGCUUACCAAGGCUUUGACGGGUAGCCGGCCUGAGAGGGUGACCGGCCACAUUGGGACUGAGAUACGGCCCAGACUCCUACGGGAGGCAGCAGUGGGGAAUAUUGCACAAUGGGUGGAAGCCUGAUGCAGCAACGCCGUGUGCGGGAUGACGGCCUUCGGGUUGGAAACCGCUUUCGCUCAUGACGAAGCUUUGUGUGACGGUAGUGGGUAAAGAAGCACCGGCUAACUACGUG